rnacentral:rRNA from 1 species
CCUUUUGGGACGGAGUCGUUUUGGAAAAUCCUUCGGGAUUGGAAUUCUCGACUUAGUGGCGGACGGGUGAGUAACGCGUGAGCAAUCUGCCUUUAAGAGGGGGAUAACAGUCGGAAACGGCUGCUAAUACCGCAUAAAGCAUUAAAUUCGCAUGUUUUUGAUGCCAAAGGAGCAAUCCGCUUUUAGAUGAGCUCGCGUCUGAUUAGCUGGUUGGCGGGGUAACGGCCCACCAAGGCGACGAUCAGUAGCCGGACUGAGAGGUUGAACGGCCACAUUGGGACUGAGACACGGCCCAGACUCCUACGGGAGGCAGCAGUGGGGAAUAUUGCGCAAUGGGGGAAACCCUGACGCAGCAACGCCGCGUGAUUGAAGAAGGCCUUCGGGUUGUAAAGAUCUUUAAUCAGGGACGAAACAAAUGACGGUACCUGAAGAAUAAGCUCCGGCCAACUACGUGCCAGCAGCCGCGGUAAUACGUAGGGAGCAAGCGUUAUCCGGAUUUACUGGGUGUAAAGGGCGCGCAGGCGGGCCGGCAAGUUGGAAGUGAAAUCUAUGGGCUUAACCAUAAACUGCUUUCAAAACUGCUGGUCUUGAGUGAUGGAGAGGCA